rnacentral:rRNA from 1 species
CCGUUCAGAGGGUAAACCUGAGAAACCCGAAAGGUCGAAAGGGGAAAUUCUUUCGCGUUUCGGCUGUCGGAGAUGAACGGUCUCGCGACGGACGGCGUUCGCGUCGUCCGCGUAUUCCGUUUUUCUAUCUGACGUCUAACGCGUGCACUUUUCCCCUAGUAGGACGUCGCGAUCCGUUGGGUGUCGGUCUACGGCUCGUUGUGGAGCCCGCGCGCGGUCGUUUCGGCGGCUCGUGCGCGGACCUUCGAUGUCCCGGCCGACUCGCUCGACGGUAUACAGAUGGCGCGAGGCCGCUACAUUAGUUAGCGUCCGACCCGCGGCAAGCGCGUUCGGUGUCUAAAACGGCGAUCGGACCUGGUGCCGAUUCCGUCCCCGGACGACUGUUGGCCGCGAGGUUCUCGGACAGACCUCGUCGAAACGCCGAUCUGCGACGCUAUAGCUUUGGGUACUUUCAGGACCCGUCUU